rnacentral:rRNA from 1 species
AUACGGAGGGUGCGAGCGUUAAUCGGAAUUACUGGGCGUAAAGCGUACGUAGGCGGUUUGCUCAGUCAGAUGUGAAAGCCCCGGGCUUAACCUGGGAACUGCAUUUGAUACUGGCAGACUAGAGUAUGAUAGAGGGGGGUAGAAUUCCUGGUGUAGCGGUGAAAUGCGUAGAUAUCAGGAGGAAUACCAGUGGCGAAGGCGGCCCCCUGGAUCAAUACUGACGCUGAGGUACGAAAGCGUGGGGAGCGAACAGGAUUAGAAACCCUAGUAGUCC